AAAUUUUUCUUAGGCAACCCAUUAACAUAUCACACUUGUCUACCUGUACCUCUAUUACUGAAUAAGACUCCUUUAUUUUUUGAAAAAAUCCCAUAUUUUGCUUCUCCAACAUUUUCUUUGCAGCUACUGCAUUUUCUAAAUCUAAUAAUGUUGGUUAGGUUGUCCAACCACGUAUUGUAGUGAUAGUAAGAUUGAACUCCAGUCUCAAGCAAUGAGUAAUAAUUCUUUUCAUUCUUGCUUCACUAAUUUUAGACUCAAGAUCAAAUUUAGAAAUUUCGUGGCAAAGAGACUUAACUUUUGUAAAAUAUUCACUUACCAUGAUAUGCUCAAGCAAAACAUCCUCCACAAAGGUCUUAAGUGCAAACAUGACCUUACAUACUUUGACCAUCCAUGUUUCUUUCUCCUUGUUACUUAUAAGUGGUGUUAUCUCAUAUCUGGAAUUGAGAAUCACGGGUCCAAGAAUGUGGAUCAAUAAAUAGGCAGGCCUUUAUGUUGAACUAGGCUUGAAGUUGGGCUCCCAUCACCAAAGUAGUCUAAGUUUUGAAUUGGUUUAUCAACAUUUAUGUAUCCUUUAUAAUUCUCGUGCAUUGCAAAUGUGAAAUUUUGUUCCCAUCUUUAAUAUUCCAACGCUGCUCCUCAAGUGUAAUUAGGUUCAAGCUUAAGCUCACAAGUCUAUUUGUCACUUUCCAUUGCAUGGGGUGGCCUAUUAACUUGUGUCUGGCUCCUUUCCGACUUUGUGCUUAAGGUUUUCCUUGACUAGCCAAUUGGUUCACCUGAAUGGCUCAUUUUGACUCAACUCACAAAUUUAGCUCCUUUUUGCUCAACCCACCAUGCUUUCGAGUCCCAAAUCUACGAUUGUUGGGCCUCACCACUCUAAUACCGUGUUAAGAAUCAUGGGCCCAAGAGUGUGGAUUAAUCAAUAGGCAGACCUUCAUACUGAACUAGGCUUGAAGUUGGCUCCCAUCACCGUUUGGUAAGCCAACACUUAUAUGUCCUUUAUAAUUCUCGUGCACUGCCAAUGUGAGAUUUUGCUCCCACCUUCAAUAUUCCAACAUCCGUCUAUAAGGCUUGACAAAUUAUCGUUACUCGGUAUAACCUCACUUAUAAUGCCAUGUAAACUUGGUUCUCGACCUAUAAGCUUCAUGGUCCCAAACUAUACAUAAGUAGAAUCUCCUUCGAUCCCAUAUCUUUAAUUGACAAUGUCACUUCUUGGCAACUUGACACAAUCUCUAACUAUUGACUCUUUAAAAGACUUAGUCUUAGACCAACGCAGUCCACAGCCUGACUAUGUCCAACAAAGUCUCCUUUUUCUGCACCUUGAUAUUUACACCCUGACCUCUAACUCUAAUACCCAAUGUUGAUAUUUUAGACUACUCUGAUACCAAAUGUUGAGAAUAGGAGCCAAAAAGUAGGAAGCUCAAAGCUAAAAUGGACUUGGGAGUGAAUAAAACUUUUAUUACCAAGUAUUAAAAGAAUACACUUUCACAUUCAAGCAGACACUUUAGCACAACACUAGAUUAUUUCUCACACUUACCACACUUUGCACUCACAGUUCACACACACUCUAAGUCAAACACCUUGGAGUCUCUCACUCUCUUCUUUCUUCUCUGCACGCCACGCACACUCAUUUUAUAUUUUUCUCUUACUCUUUUACACGCCACUCAUUAUUACUCACACUUUCUCUUACACACAAUACUUGCACACAGAAAACAUAUUUAUAGUAGAUGUAGGCCGGUGAUAAGGAGCUUCUGAUGCUUCUCAUAUGUCAGUUCAUGGCACCAGAUUUUUUUGGUUUUUGAGCAGUUCUAGAGUUGAAAGAAACUUCUAGAACCUGGAAGAUAUUUCAUGAUUGUCUUAAUUUGUUGCCUAGAUUUUUCUGUAAUGUGGAAGAAGCUUCUGAAGAUGGAGAGGCAGUGAUGAUUUCAAUUAAGUGUAAUUUGUUUGGUUUUUAACUUGGGAAAAUGUUGUUAUAAGC
rnacentral:misc_RNA from 1 species